UUCCAUUAAACAAAAAAGAAAGAGAUAAAGUCAUGAAAAAUUCCCAAGUUUCUGUUCAAUUUUUCAUGUUGGUUCUUCUUUUCUCUGGACACACCUGCAGUGAAGAAAUAAAAUUGCCAAGUUGGAAAAUACCAGAUUGCUCGAUUUUAUGUAAGACACGCCAUGGAGUGGAGAUGAAGCCGUCGGAGUUUAUUUUAGGGGUGGUUGCUUAUGCUCCUACCCCUGCCUUUCUUCUUAAAUCCAAUCCUUUAUUUAUUUAAUGCCAAAAUCCCACCAAUAAAACUCUCAUCUAUUGCUCUUAAUUAGUUAACCAAAUA